rnacentral:lncRNA from 1 species
GGACCUUCUAGAGCCUCAAUCUUAACGCACACAAAUGUCAAUCAUUACAAAGCAAGUUUAAACCUUGAAUGAAUUUUCCCACGGUUAUCCAGAAAGGUCACCUGAGUUUACUGUUACAUGAUACUAUUUCCCGCCAAAUAAAAAUCUCGUGGACAAAAUUGAUGUCACUAUUUUUAGCAUUCAAUAUUGUGAGCGAAGUCAAGUUCAAGUUCAACCACGCACUGUUGAUCACUGAGAUGCGUAUCGUCUUCCCACGGCAAUUAAUUGCUUUAAAAAUAUUUAAAGAUCACUGUUCUAAAUACAACACAAAAGUUUACAUUCAUUGUGCGUAAAU